UCCCAAAGAGGGAGAAGGGGAAUCAGGAAAGACUCAGAAAAGCACGGUGGACACAGGACUGGAUAAGACUGGAUCUGUCGCAUCGCGCGCUUACAAGACACACGUGCACAUACACACACACACACACUGGGUGUUUGGUGUCGGUGACGUCCAUGUCUUCAACACUUUAGGAUUAAGAUGCAUCAUUUAAAUCUGGUUUAAGCCAACGUGGCAUUCCAUGCAUUCUUCAUUCAUGGAAAAUAAAAAAAAUAAAAAGAGAGAAAAACAAAGACAGAUAUUUUUCAGCAUGCAUGCGAUCAACAACGGGACUUUUUCUUUGAACAAAGGAACGAACACACACACACACACACACAGCGUUCACAUCCACAGCAGAAGAACUUGUGGCGACUCUCUCUCUCUCUCUCAAAGAGUUCGGUGUUAACGUGCAUGCCUUGUGGUUAUAACACCAUCGUUUUCCUGUAGUGCCCUAUCACACUGUCCUUCACUCUGUCUGCAGCAACAACAGCGGGAAAUAUUGGACCAACACACACACACACACAGGCCCCGAAACCACAAGUUGAACAAACUCCCCUCACGCCACCAUCUUGUAUAUUUCAUGCACUUUCGACCAGCAGAGAUGAGUGGAGUCGACGGAAGGAAUUGAUUGGUUGCUCGCUAUUUAUUGAAAAAAAAAGAAAAGAAAAUAAGGGUCGUGGUCCCUGUGUUGAAGACUUCUGUUUUAAGAUAGUGGAAAAAAAAUAACAACUGUAAAAAUCCAGGUUUUGAUUCUAAACAUCAAAGGUGACAACAAAAAAAAGAACACGAAAAUGCAGUACCGUCAUAGACCACUAGAGGUCAUGGACUCUGUUGUGAAGACCUUUUAUACGAAUGAAAACAAAAAAAAAAUCCACUAAUAUCCAGGUAUUUAUUUCAAACAUAGGUAACUUUAAAAUAAUCACUGCUCCCCCGCAGUACCUCCAUAGACCGCUAGAGGUCAUGGACUUUAUUGUGAAGACCUUUUAUACGAAUGAAAAAAAAAACCCCACUUUUAUCUAGGUUUAUAUUUCAAACAAACUGUAGGUAACUUCAAAAUAAUCACUGCUUCCCCGCAGUACCUCCAUAGACCACUAGAGGUCAUGGACUCUAUUGUGAAGACCUUUGAUACGAAUGAAAAAAAAAACCCACUAAUAUCCAGGUAUUUAUUUCAAACUGUAGGUAACUUUAAAAUAAUCACAGCUCCCCCGCAGUACCUCCAUAGACCGCUAGAGGUCAUGGACUCUAUUGUGAAGACCUUUUAUACGAAUGAAAAAAAAAACCCACUAAUAUCCAGGUAUUUAUUUCAAACUGUAGGUAACUUUAAAAUAAUCACAGCUCCCCCGCAGUACCUCCAUAGACCGCUAGAGGUCAUGGACUCUAUUGUGAAGACCUUUUAUACGAAUGAAAAAAAAAACCCACUAAUAUCCAGGUAUUUAUUUCAAACAUAGGUAACUUUAAAAUAAUCACUGCUUCCCCGCAGUACCUCUACAGACCACUAGAGGUCAUGGAUCCUCUGUUGAACCAUUCACACAUUCUCCUCUAACCAUUUCAUACCGUAAACACAGUCCACUGUGAAUCUAAUGUAGCCAGACUGAGGGACACUGUGUUGUUUCUUUCAUUUUUGACAACUUUGUAUUUUGAUUUUUUUUUCUGAUGUCAGAGCAAAAAAAAAAAAA